CACCCCUCAAGCCUCGCUUGGUCUUGGGCGACCCGCGGCCGUCCCGGCCCGCGCGCCCCCAUGUCUCCGGCCGAGCCGUCCGUCCCCAAGCGUUGUGGUCUUAUCAGUCCGCUUCGGGGCCCGGGCACGUUCGCCGCCGCCAAACCCCUCUCUA
rnacentral:misc_RNA from 1 species